AAAUAAAUAUUAUUUAUUUUAAUUUUUAUUAACUGAAUCAAAAAAUUAUAAAAUAAACAUUUUCAUGCUCUUAGAUAUAAGAUGCAAGUAAUAGUUAAAAGUUUCAAGUUGAAACUUUAAAAGUAAUGAAUUCUCGUUAUGAUAAGAAAAUAAGAGGAAAGCCGCAUUUCUUCAUAAUUUUCAUUAUAACGGAAGUAGUAAAACAUAGAAAUAAGGUGGCUGACUAUUCAGGACAAGAGACGUGGUGUGGAUCCCGAAGGCGACUAAAUUCUGAAGUAAUCAAGUGAUUCGAUCAUGUGGAUAACUAUUGGAUAUUAAUGUGUUUUGUGUUUUAUAUAAUUCGUGUUUGUCUACAAUCUGUAUACACAAACUGUCUUUGUCUUUGCUUGUUUUAGCAUACUGUUAAUUAGUCAAUUUUGUAGGGAUUUUUCUUUCUUUGUUUUCGGAGCUCGAGACCACCCAUUUCCAUUUGAAAAGCAACAUGCUCCUCCUUUUCCCGUUUUCCCUACUGAGUAUUAUUUUACACUACCUACUAUGUAGUGACUAUAAAUAUAUAACCACGAAUCUUCCCGAAUUUUCUUUUUUACUAAUUUAUUUGAAACAUCAUCGUUCUGAAUUUUGCUUCAUCAAGAGUGUUAUAAUAAUCCGCCGUGCGAUUAACUGAACAUGACCUCCUUUGCGUUGUACGUAUGCGCAUGCUAACCACUAAACACUCUUCUGUUCAUCAGGCUAACGGAAUUUCUUCUGUCAUAAAUUAUCAUAACGCCGGAAAACAAAAUUCAUAUAGAAUCAUGUUACCUUAAAUUAAAAACAUAAAUAUUUUGAGACUUGCGCGUAUCAUCGAACGUUGAAGGUGUGUGAGACCUACGGUCAUAUUUUGUAAAAGUAUUUCAAAGUUGUAAGGAAAAUAUAUCUAAAUGAAAUACGCAUACUAAGCCAAAUACAAAUUCAACGAAGGCUUUGUGAACUUGUAUAUUCCUUUAACAUGCAUUGCGCCUGCUUUUAAGGGGUUCCAAGCAAAUAUAUAUAUAUAUAGUUGACAUGAUUGUAGGUUUUAAAUAGUACAUGUUGUUAAAAAAGAAAAGAAAUAGUAGUCUACACUUUCAUUGUAGAAGAAUGGACACUUGGUAAAAAAAAAAAAGAAUAAAGGUUAUAGAGUGUGCCUUUUUUAUGUGUGUAAUGCGAAAGAACUAGGAAACGAACAGAAAUCAUAGGAAGGUAUAUAAUUAGGAAGAAAUAAAUAGUUCACAGAAGAAGAUAAGGAAAGUGUAUUCCGACAUUGAGUGACGGCUAUGCACGUGAGGUUCACGAGGCCUUCAAAAGGGGACGGCGAUAAAAUUCAACUUAGCUACUGUACUUUUGUUGCAGGUUAAAAAACAAUAAGAGCACAAUCAUCGAUAGUUUCUUUGUAAAGUACCUCAAGAUAAAUAUUAAUAAAGAACAGAAAAAUAUGAAAGAGAAUAUGAGAAACAUGAGAAUCGAUUGUCACAGAAGAAACGUUGGAGUUUUGGGAAGGUACCAUAUCUCCACUUACCACUUGAUUAUUGGUACAAUUUUUCUUAAAACAUUAAAAUUUAAUUACAAAACUAAAUAUGUUAAAAUAUUGUUAUAAUAACGUGUAGAAAUUUUGGUUGAGAAACUUAACCAUUAAUGUUGCUCUAAGAGAUAAUCGAAGUGCCAAAAAUAUUUCACGUAACUUCGUAUUUAAUUUUAUUUUUACCAAAAUACGACUUGAAGGGAGGAGAUUAAAGAUGUCAGUUGGACCGUAAAAUCUAAUUUAAACCAUGUAUAGAAGAUUUAUCUCGGUAUAUUUAUAACCAUGUCGUCUUUGAUAUUUUGAAUUAAGAUAUUCGGGUAAUGUAGGUUGAUUUUCUUCAUCCAAUUAUAAUAUGAAACGGAUAAAGUUAUGUUGGUUGUAUGCCCACCUCCCCCCAUAGCUAUUCUCACAAUUGGAGGGAGACACAUCAUACAACUCACAUAUGUUAAAGUUCUUUUCCAGACGUAUAAAUGUGAUUUUAUAAAUGGUGUCCGCUGUCGGGCCAUCAUAUUGUCUCUUAUACAAGUUUAUUACGUCACAUUCUAUAAUUUGAUUCGCUUAAUCUAGAUAUAUAUGCACACGUAUAUCUCAACUCGAACGUGUUUGUAGAUAAAACUUAGAUAGUUUCGUGAAGAACGGUAUUUGUUAAUGUGGAAGCACAUGCAUGUAAUAAUAAUAUGGUAUGGAUUACACGUACGAUCAAGAUCAGAUAAGAGGUGUACAUAACCGGUUAUGUUGCAAGUUUUCCGGUUAUGUUUACAUAAACGAGAUUGAAGUAGUUGUUUACUUGUUUUAUUUACACAAACAAAUAGUUAUCCUACUAUUAAUGUAAGUAAGUACUUAUUAAAAGAAUACUAAUGACGAAGGAAGGAAUGAAAGUGGCUGACAAAGACGAGUUCCACGCAAGUGAAAGGAGUGAUGUAAAUUUAAGAGGCCACAUGGGCAUGCUUACUAAUUUUGUUACGUGUCGUCUCCCUAAUACUCCUUUUUCCUUGGACCACACUUCUACUUCUGCCACGUGUCCUCUCACGUUCCCUCUUUCUCCGGGCCUCUCCUUUCUACAGAUUCCUCCUCCAUCUUUGUUUGACUUCUACCGAUUGCAUUUUGUUUUUUUUUUUCAACAUUAAAGUGAGUUUGGUUAUUGAUUACUGAUUAGUACCCCAAUAUUGAAUCUUGUUUUUUUAUUAUAUUAUACCAUCCUCUUAUAGUAUAAAAUAACUGAAUUUUACACAUGUACAAUGUAUAGAAUACAAAUGAAUGAAUGAGAAUGUUUAGGAGGAAUAACGUAAAUAUAUACUUUUUGUUACCUUUUCAAAAUAUCUAAUUAAUAAAUUAAACUAAUUAUAAAAAAUAAAUAUUAUUUAAUUGAUUACACAACAUCCAAUAAAUAAAAAACUACAGUGAAAUAUGAAAAUUAUGUAUAUUCUGAAACAAUUUGUUUUUGUUUAAAACUAUUUAUAUAUGAACACAUGAAGUAUCUUUUUUUUUUCCUUUUGUUUUGAAAGUUUUUUUGGGGGAAAUCGAUCCAUGCCAGAUCCAAAAUAUUAUAAAAAGAACGUAUGGUUGGUGAAAUUGCUCUAUUGAUAUUAUAUCGUUUGACUUCAGAAGUUUCCUUUCGUAUAUAACGAACUUUUUAAAAACCCCAAAAACUCUACGUCUCUACACGGUAUGGAAAUACCUUCAAAGUUGAGGCUACAAAAUACCAGUCCAUGUUUAUUUAUGUUUGAUAUAACUAAGUUGAUCGUUAGUCGCAUUUACAACAUUAUCACACAAAAGCUAAAGUCGAAUCUAUAUAUUAAAAACAUAAUAAAAUCACCCCAAAAGGCAGAGCUACAUGCACCACCUUGAAUUUGUACUCUGUUGUCUUAGCCAUUAAGCGAUAUAUGUGGUUUUGAUAGACUUUAUGUGGGUGGAUAUGUAGGUAAAGUAAUUUAGUUUAGUGGCAUAUGUAAUGUUUAAAUUUUUUAUAUGGAUAAGAUUUGGAGUUCGCGUAGGUUUGUUUACUCUUCUCUUAAUAUGGGAUUAUCUAAGUUCAAAAAAAAAAAAAAGGGAUUAUAUACAAGUUGUAAUAAAUGUGAGAUAGGCAUUCAAACCCAAGCAACAAUGUCAAACUCUAGUUUGAAAGUACCGAUAAAAAUCAUACAGUCGUUAACUAGGGUUUGUUUUUUAUAUUCAUAGAGGUGUAUAUUUACAUUCAUAGGAGGAAAAGGAGAGAAAAUACUUCUUAUUGAUCAAUAGGAAAGAAGAUGCGCAUAUGGCACGGGAUAGAUUCCUUUUAUCAUAUGCUUUUGAGUUAGGACUUCCGAUUAAUUUGUCCUUUUUAGUUAUAUAAUAAUGUAUGUUUAAAUAAACUAAUCGGACUUAAUCAUCAGUAAAGCUAAAUGAUUAAAAUAAUUAAAUGUCAUGUUUAUCCCAACAUUUGCCUUCCUUGUUUCCCGUACUUCCAACUCUCUCAUCAGUUUUGCGUAACAGAUAGAUAAGUGGGUAGAAAUAUUCCAUACGUUUUUGCUUUCUUUUAAUUAAUCAAAAGCUUAUCAAUCAGCAAAUUCGUACUAUAACUAUCCUAUUAUAUUAUGGUUGUGCUGGCGACUGAUUACCGUUAAUAAACUUAUGCAGUAAGAGUAUUUUAAUGCAAGUGCUACAAGGAUGGACAACUUAACCUAAUAUCCAAAACCAUGAUAUACAAGAUUCGAUCUGUAGUUUUUCAUACAUUAUCUUUUUUUUUAGAUCUAGAUUAAUUCACAUCUGACCAUUUUACCAGCAAAUACUAAAAGCAAUCUGAUGGUUCAGCAAACUUUAAAAAUGCGAAUGUCACAACUCACAACCUUAAACCUCCUUAAUGGCUAAAAUUGACAAGUGGUUGCCCCUAAGUUACGCCACGAUUUAGAGAAUUAAUUAUUCCCCAAUGUGAACUUAUUGGGAACCCAGGGAAUGCUAUAUUGAACUGACUCGGUUAAAUGUUUAAACAAUCGAAUAAAUAAUAACCGAGACUCAGUCAAAAACGUCAUAGUUAAGUAAUUUAUACAGACUAACUUAUAUUACAUAAAUCGGAUGUUUAAAAAGAUAAAUACAGACUAAAAGUCAGAUUGCACGCUAUUUAUAUUACAUAAAUCUCAGAGUUGAAUAUAAAUUACAGUCGUUGCGCUAUUAUUUUAUAGAUGUAAUCUUUACUAUUUGAGCAACUGCAAAAUGGGUUUUAUAGUAUUGAGUAUUUGAGUCUUGCAUAUAUAGACUAGAGAAUACAUUUAAUCAUAAUUAAACUAAUUACCCUUACAAAUUUGUGUGCUGGAAAAGUUUUUCUAUUACCGUAAAGAUUAAUUAAAGCUGCUAAGCAUCACCAAGGUGUUGUCUACUAUUAAGAAGUAGUAAGUCUUGCAUAAAAAAACAUUAGUAUAAAGAGACCCGUACUAAAAUGAAAGUGUGACAUGGAUCCCAUGGUCCAAUUGUAUAUAAACAACAUUAAUCCAAACUGUAUUCGCGUACAAAAUUACAGAACGUGGUACGUGGUGGAUCAGGUUAAAGAAGAUGUCUCUAGAUUUGUGGGAAUAAAAAGAAGCCGUCUUGAAUCCAACAACAGUGGAGUGGGCUUUACUUGAAUUCUGAGUGAUAUUACUGCUGUUUAAAUUGUUUUGCGAAAUAAUAACAACCCAAAAUAUUAGUUUAGCGCAUUUUAAAUGAUUGUGUGUUUGGCCCACUUUAAUUAAUGUAUCGAGAAAUUUGAAACGAAGCUGUUUAUGAGGGUUAACGCCUCGUGUUAGUAGCUACGUUCGUCGUCGGGUCACACCUAGGAAGCAAAUAUGAUGAAGCUCUCGCUGAUCUCCUUACUCCUUGGGUUGUGGUUCUUCUCGACGAUCUGUCACUCAAAUCCUCUCGCUCGCGCUUCAACGAUACGGCCAGUACUUGUACGAUGGGCUCAUCAUCUGAUUCUGACUGAGCCCCUACACCUACCUGAUCGCUACUUUGCUUGUGGAGGAUCAUUGGAUUCGAAAUCCAUAGCUGAUUUCGUGACGUGGGAUUGCCACAGAGUGUGGGGUUGAUUUCGAUGAGGUUCGUCCGUCUCUCUCUCUCUGAUGUUGACGGCGACCACACCUUGAUUUAGUUAAAUCCGAUCCCCAUUAAUUUUAGGAAAAUCCAACAACAUUCAGGUUAAUCUCCCUGCAAACUUCUUUCAGCCUGCUAACCCAACUUCCAAGUUGUCCACUCCUCCCCACCUCACUGCGGAGAUACUGGAGUGGUCAGGGAAGAGCUGGGAACCGUAUGUAGCGGAUGAUGUGCAGGUUCAGUUUGAGCCCAUAUGUCCUGAAAACCUUGUCAACAGACAAGAAGGGUCUGUUUCAUACAUCUUUCAAGGUUCCUGAUGUGUAUGGUGUACUCCAGUUUAAGGUUGAAUAUAAAAAGCUCGGCUACACUAAAUUCUCUCUUUCAAAGCAGAUUCCUGUGAAGCUUUACAGACAUAAUGAGUAUCAGAGAUUUAUCCCAACUGCCUAUCCUUAUUAUGGAGCCUGCCAUACUUCUCUCUUUUUUUUCUUUCACACAUACACAGCUGCUAAAGGAGCUUAUCUUUUGUGUGUUUUCAAUGCAGAUGGCUGGUUUCCUUGUCUUCAGCUUCGUCUAUCUCUACCAUAAGUAGAAAAUGCAUUGAAUUUGGUUCUCCAGUCUCAUAAAGUAAGCCAGACCUCUUCAUACUUAGACGAGAGAAAUGUAUCAUUUGAAUUUUGAGUCCCCUCUUAUUUCGCGAACAAGCUUUAGUCAAACACUUUCAACCUUUGUUUUGUUCUCCGCGUAUUUUAUGUUAGCGGGUAAUUUUACAACCUUUCUCUGCUCUCUUUUCCCCUUGGUAAAAAAUAUAAGUAUGACCGAGGCACGUCACUCACUGUAAUCCACAUACUUUUUCAUAAAUAUCAUAUUUUUAACUACUGUUAAAUUUAUCACCGAUUUAGAAAGCUAGACCGGUGAUAUAGAGAACAUAAAAAUACAAAUUUCAAACAAAAUAAAAGGAAGCGUCAAACAGCUCGUACAAUUCAACAAGUACAAUUUAUAAAUUUAUGAAUAAUAAAUACUAUACAGUAAUAAUUAUAAAGAAUAUAGUUUUAUAAACA